rnacentral:rRNA from 1 species
UACGUAGGGUGCGAGCGUUGUCCGGAAUUACUGGGCGUAAAGAGCUCGUAGGUGGUUUGUCGCGUUGUUCGUGAAAACCGGGGGCUUAACCCUCGGCGUGCGGGCGAUACGGGCAGACUGGAGUACUGCAGGGGAAACUGGAAUUCCUGGUGUAGCGGUGGAAUGCGCAGAUAUCAGGAGGAACACCGGUGGCGAAGGCGGGUCUCUGGGCCACUACUGACGCUGAGAAGCGAAAGCAUGGGGAGCGAACAGG